AAUCCACGUGCAUGGAGCGAGCAGAGUGGCCACUUAAAGUGAUAACAAAGGAAGAGCUGGCUACUGGCAGGGAGCUCCUGCUGAAAUGAUGCUCAGAAGACAAAAUAAUAUACAUUUCCACCUCAAGAAAACUAGCUGAAGGGUAUUCCUCUCCAAUUGCCAUGUGGACAUCUUCAGGCAGUUGAUUAUCUGUCAUUCGCAAUCUUCCAGUGUGGCAGCUUUGUCCUGCUCAGCAACACGACAGAUGGACCUUACAGCCGAGGAAGACAGGACAAAGCACAACAGGCCUGUAAGACACCAAGAAUGAUAAGUUUAGCUGCUUUGGUAUCGGAAUCAACAUGGGGGUUGCUGUAACUUCGGCUACUUUUUACUCACUCUUCCUAUGUGUUUGCCCAAGUGAGAACAGCAGUGCUACGCCAUACCCGGUCGACUGGGAAUCGGGAGGAAUAAUGGAUUGUGAUGAGCAUAUUCCCAGGUUCCAGAAUGAGUAAAAAAUAAAGGACAGGGAAGAAUGUGAUGGCAACAUUUCUCUGAUCCAUUUCUUAGGGGUAGAAUUGAUUGGCACUAUGUCUCCACACUCUGUCUAGAUUUUUGCAAGGGUGUUUUCAUAAAUGAUGUGCAGCUGUCACGUCAUCAGUUGUCACCUCAUGAUGCUCCUUCUUUCCAGCUCCCAGGCAGGCAUGUAUAUGGUAUGGAACAGAACAUAUACAAGUUGCUGAAAUAGCCCUCAGUACAAAAGAGGCAUCUGUGAAAGUGAAAAUGAAGCUAGUACUAGUGUAAACACACACAGUACCCAUUGUAUUUAGCUCUCUGGAAUGGAGGGCAGGUUUUGAUCAAGCCAUCGUGAGCUCGCCUUACAGACAACAAUGCCCAUCUGUGUUGCUAUCUUUGGGAAAAUAUGCCCAUGAGGAAACACGGGAGAUUUGAGUGAAGAUCUUGGUAGUGCAGUGGGGACUGUGAAGUGAGUUGUAGCCAACUCUGGCAAAACCUGCUUUCCCAUCCCCAGUUUUUAUCCACUAUGAAGCUCAUGCAUUCCGGGAUCAUCAUCAGGUCUGUUGAUGGCAUUUUGACCAACCAGAGAGCUCUUCUUGGUGCAAUCAGUGUAAAGUAAGACUACAUCGUGCUCUUUAAAAAGAGAUUCUGGAAAACCUCCCAGAUUUGUACAUGUACCUCUUUAGUUUACAAUUCAGAGGACAAGGCUGAACAGGGAUUUGAUGGAGAUUAAUAGCUGGGUUCUUUUUCCCCCAUUUAGAAAUAAAGUAAUAGCCACACUCUAAAAUAAAACCCCUCCAGGAUUUGCUGGCAUACAUAGAACAAUGCUUCUGUGCUAGAUGUGUACAGCUGUAUUUGCACCAUUGUGAUUCACCUUUUUAGAAAGCCCUAUCAAGAGAGUCCAUUUAUAACUCCAUUUAGAAGCUUCCUAUUAUUUGUAUUACAGUAGCACCUAGAGAUCCCAACAGAGAUGGAAACCUCCUUGUGCUAGGCACUGUACAAACACAUAGUGAGAGACAAUCUCUGCCCCGAACUGCUUACAAUCUAAAGAGAGAGUGCAGACAAAGGAUGGGAGAAGAAAGAGAUUAAAUGACUUGGCCAAGAUCAUACAGCAGGUCAGUGUCCGAGCCAGCAAUAGGACUCUUCCUUCCAUGGCUCUAGCUGCUAGACAGCGCUGCCUCUCUAAACAAAACCUAUAGCUCCUGCCCUGCACGCACCCUGCUCACAUUU